rnacentral:snoRNA from 1 species
GAAGCUGUAUUUUCAGGGUUCAUUUCCAUAGGGUUUUUUUUUUUUUUUCUUUUUCUUUUUUUCCCAGAGAAGCUCUUCUGCAUGCAGAGAGUGCUGGAAAACAUCAGGAUGAGGUCCCAGGAAGCUGGCUUUUGUUGUUGUCUUGCUUGAAUUGCCAUUUGCCCAUGAGGGUCAUUCUUCUCUCCCUUUGGGAGAGGAAGAGGGGAGGGUGCAGUCUGAGUGGU